GCGAACGGGUGAGGAACACGUAAGAAACCUACCCCAUAAACGAGGAUAACCAUUGGAAACGAUGGCUAAUACUGGAUAGGAUAUAGAGUCGCAUGGCUUUAUAUUUAAAGGUGCCCCAAAGCACCGUUAUGGGAUGGUCUUGCGCUGCAUUAGCUAGUUGGUAGGGUAACGGCCUACCAAGGCGACGAUGCAUAGCUGGUCUGAGAGGAUGAACAGCCACACUGGGACUGAGACACGGCCCAGACUCC
rnacentral:rRNA from 1 species